CUCCAAAACCCCCUUAAAUUAAACUCAGCUGCAACCUUCGUGAGUUCGUGAUGUUCGUGGCACCGGAAAAUUGGAUUAAAAUGGGUUUUAUAGUGCUGCGUUUUUGGCUCCAUAAAAUCACCCCAAAAUUAAACUCCUGUGUGUAUCUUCCUGGUUUUGUUGAUUUUGAUUAAUUUAACGAUUUUCCUAAGAUUUUGCUUCGUAUUUUGGGUUUAAUCCAUGUUCCUAAAAUGAAAAUUGGGUUAAAAAUGACAAAACAAAUUUCAGGUGGGGGUUAUAAUCGCUGGAGGUUUGAGAAUUUUGGGGAAGAAGGGUGGUAAGACUGUAAGAGGAAGAAGAGGGGAGUUGGCAUGGGGGGUUACGGAGUGGCUACUCCGGUUAGGGAAGGAGUAGGCAUAGGGGUAGGGGGCUGUUUCAGGUGGGUGUUCGGGAAGGAGGACGGGGAAUCGGGGAAGAAGGAGGCUGUUUUAUUUUUUAUUUUAUUUUAUUUUUAUAAAAAAAUUUAUUAUUAAUUUUCUUUUAUUUUAAAAUUAUUUUUAAAAAAUCCAAUUAGAAAGUGACACGUGGAAAGCCACCUUCUAAAACCAGUUACCAAUUUUACAAACCGAUCAAAGGACUGUUUUGAGAAAAUGGGGGUAAAAGGUGGGAUUAUUUCCAGAAUACGCAAAGGUGGGAUUGUUUUGAGCAGAAAUGGAAAAGGUGGGAUUAUUCGUUUCAAUUUUUCCAUAUUUAUUUUAUUAGCUUAAUUAAGGUUUUGUCUCUUUUUUAAUAAGAACGAAUGUUUUAGUCUUGAAUUUUAUUUUUCUUUUUAAUAUUAUAUUAUUUCAUAAGCUAAUUUUACGAAGAUCAGCAAUUUAUUAUUUAAAGUUUAUUUCUGAUAUGUAAAAUGUUUAAAGAUUUGCAUCAAAUUUUGUAUUUUUACCCGAGGGAAUAAAAUGACCAAAAUACCCUUAUUCAUACAAAAGGAAAAAAUCCACCUCUUCCUUGUUCUUUCUUCACGGUUAAGCAUUGGAAGUCAAAAUUUGCUUCUUUCCCAUUGGAUGUUCAAUUGUUUCACUUAUCAUCACAACAAAAGUCAGGUGAUCAGCUUAAUUUUGAUACUUAUCAAAUUAAUAUAGUAAUCUUGAUCUUUACUCUUCCUUCUCUUAUAAGUUUCUUCUACCAAGUUAUUAGCACCCAUAAGUUUGACUGCUAAAGAGAUACCACUAUUGCCGCAAUCACUGUAUCUUUUCCUUGCUCCAGGCCGUUGUUGCCAUCCUUCUUCUUACCUUCGACCAAGCUCAUGCACCGCAGCCACGCACUCUUCUUCUUCCUCCAUUCGUGUCAUAUUUGGUGAAACCGAGAAUAGUCAUUGAGACUACUCUGUACACAUGAAACCAAAAGGAAUCGAACCUCGGAGCUCAGUGAGAACGAUAGAAUAAAGGCUAAUAGGAAGGUUAUUAGGCUGUAAAUCGAGGUAACGACUAUUGCUAGUACCCGCAAUUCCCUUCGAAAUGUGUUUAUAAAAGCAUGAUGUCACUUUUGAAAGUUAUUUACAUCUCUGGAUUAAUGACUUGCGGGAUGAUGAACGUGUUUAUUAAUGUAUUUCAGUCUAAUGAUUUAUGUGAAUAAUUUUAUUAAUAUACGUUGUUUUAUUGAUCUUUGGAUCUCACGAAAGUAUGUUAUGAGUUUAUGAAUGACCUAUGUAAAAGGUACACAACAUGAUAAAUAACAGUGAAAAACCUAGUCCAUCUGGCAGUAUAUGUUUACAGGUUACUUCUCGGUCAUGCAUGUAUCCAUAGGGCAUUAGCCCAACUAUGUCGAGCAUCUGCUCUAUGUUAUGGGCACCGACCCAUCGCGGUAGACGUUCCGCCAUAUCAUACUUGCCAGCGACUAGCAUGUUAAUAUGAACGUUAUAUGUAUCAUUAUAUGAAUUUUAUUAAAUGUUUUAAGAUAUUCCAUUUCUCUGUUUUGUUAACUAAAAUGAAUUGAAAUGAUGUUACACUACUAGAGUAGUUCGUUACUGAGUCUUCGGCUCACCCGUUUUUAUGUUUUAGGUAAUGUUGGGGAUGAUGGAGACGAGUAGUAGCGAGGAUUUUACUUUCAGUUAUCACUUGAUAGUAGUUAUAGUUUUGAGUUGUUUAAUUUGAAUAGUAAGACUAAGCUACUCAGUAAAGUUUGAGAUAAGAUAGGAUUUGCUAUUAUAAAAA